rnacentral:rRNA from 1 species
CGGCGGACGGGUGAGUAACGCGUGGGUAACCGUGCCUCAUACAGGGGGAUAACAGUUGGAAACGGCUGCUAAUACCGCAUAAGCGCACAGUGCCGCAUGGUACGGUGUGAAAAACUCCGGUGGUAUGAGAUGGACCCGCGUCUGAUUAGGUAGUUGGUGGGGUAACGGCCUACCAAGCCGACGAUCAGUAGCCGACCUGAGAGGGUGACCGGCCACAUUGGGACUGAGACACGGCCCAA